CUUUUCGACAUGCCAGUAACAUCGUAAGUCGACGCGAAUUAUGAUCUGAUUUUCAGUUCUCUCACUGCUAAUUUCGUGAAGAAUGAAUCAGAGGCGAAAUGCAUCAUCUAAAUCACAACCCACUAAACCCUUAAUAACCAAAAACCCUGAUAUCUCCAAACAAAAAGGAUACAAAUCCCAGAAGUCCAAUUUCUUUUCGUCUGAAAAGAAUAUCUUUACACUCUGUUUGGCAUUCCGAAUUGCCAAUUCGCUGUUGAUUCAAACUUAUUUCAAUCCAGAUGAGCACUGGCAAGCCCUUGAAGUUGCCCAUCGAAUUGUAUUUGGGUAUGGUCAUCUGACAUGGGAAUGGAGGAAGGGGAUUCGUAGCUAUUUCCAUCCGUUGGUGUUUGCUGUGCUGUACAAAGUUCUUGCACUGUUUGGUCUUGAUACUCCAUGGUUCAUGGCACACGCACCACGGUUGCUGCAAGCCCUGUUUUCUGCAGUUGGUGAUUUAUAUUUCUACAAACUUUCAAAUGCUAUCUUUGGCAAUUUUGUGGCAAAAUGGGCACUUUUUUCUCAAUUGGCAAACUGGUUCAUGUUUUUCUGCUUCAACCGUACAUUGUCAAAUAGUUUGGAAACAGUUCUUACACUGGUCGGAUUAUACUACUGGCCCUGUAUGAGAGCUUCUCCGAGCAAAGUUCCCCUGGUUUUAAGGAAGUGGGGUUUGGCUAUAGCAGCAUUAGCUUGUGCAAUCCGGCCAACAAGUGCUAUUACAUGGGUCUAUGUUGGCCUUCUUGAGCUGGCUGUAACACGUGAUAGAUUAAAAUUCCUUGUUCUGGAGGUGGUCCCCAUUGGGGCUUUGGUGCUUGCGCUUUCAUGUUUAUUGGAUCGUUUGAUGUAUGGCUCAUGGGUCAUUGUACCUCUUAAUUUUCUCAAGUUCAAUUUUCUUUCAUCUGGCGGAGAUUAUUACGGAACUCACAAGUGGCACUGGUACUUCUCUCAGGGAUUUACAGUCAUGCUCUUCACAUUCUUACCAUUUUCAGUUGCUGGCAGCAUAAAGUCUAAAUGCUGGAAGCUCUCUGGACUCAUUGCAUGGGUUUUAAUUGUUUACAGUAUUCAGGGGCAUAAAGAAUUCAGGUUUGUCUUGCCUAUGCUCCCGAUAGCUUUGAUGUUCUCUGGAUAUUCGUUAGCUGUUAUGGCAAAAUCUGAUUCUGAUAGUAGAAGAAAAGGUUCUCCUAACAGUCGCAUGAAAAGGCCCUCAAAAGUGGGAUUUGCCAUCUUUGUCUUGCUUGCCACUAACAUUCCGAUGGCCUUGUACAUGAGCUUGGUUCAUCAGAGAGGAACUGAGGAUGUCAUGAUUUAUCUAUCCAAAGAAGCGCAAAAUGAGAAAGUAAAGGGUAUCCUGUUUCUAAUGCCCUGCCAUGCCACUCCUUACUACUCCACACUGCAUUAUGAUCUGCCAAUGCGUAAUCUGGAUUGUUCUCCAAGUGAAGAGAAAGGAAUCCCAGAUGAAUCAGACCACUUCAUGAUGGAUCCUGUUAGUUUUGUAUCCACACUGAUGACAAACGGGUCUUUGCCUAGUCAUGUUGUAUUAUUUGAUUCUGAGGAGAAGUUGUUAAGAGAUUUUCUGAUUUCACAUUCUUUCACAGAGAUAAGAAGGUUUUUCCAUGCCCACUUCAAGGUGGACCGUGAUCUUCAAGCAUCAGUGGUUGUAUAUGCUUUGGCUAACUAGUGUGAUUGUCAUUGUCACACCAUAGUGCCAUGAUGUUUGAAAAAACAUUAUCCAAACGCAUCAUCAUGAUCCUUGAUUGGCAUCUCUUAGAAGUUAACAAUUGAGAAGUGCUAAAUCAACAGUCGAAUUAUGUGGGAAGACAGCACAGCCCUGAAAACCUAUGUCAAGUCUUGUUGGUGGGUGGAGUUGAAUGAGCCCAUUUGCAGCUAGAUUAGGCUCCUAAAGAGAGGGAAAAAAAAGCUGUGCAAGGACCCCAUCUUGGAACAGGAGGUUCAUGAAUGUAAUUGCAAGCAUAGGCUCUAUAGUUAUGGGUCAGUUUAUUUUAUAUAGGUGCCAAUUUUCUUAAGAAAAGUUGGAUUUGUUAAAUUUACUGUACACCUAUUAUUGUAGCAAGAAAUAAACCAGCCAGCAUCACUGAGACUCUCUGGCUGGAGUGGGAUGUAGACAAACUACAGUAGAACAAAGAUUUAUUUGUCGGUUGGUUUGGUCGGUUUAUACUGAUAAUGUGCUCUGUAUUACAACUUCAUUGUUUACAUGGAGAAACGGAAAUGAAAUAGAAUUUCAGAACGAGAAA